rnacentral:rRNA from 1 species
UACGGAGGGUGCGAGCGUUAUCCGGAUUCACUGGGCUUAAAGGGCGCGUAGGUGGGAAUGUAAGUCAGUGGUGAAAUCUCUGAGCUUAACUCAGAAACUGCCAUUGAUACUAUGUUUCUUGAAUUUUCUGGAGGUCAGCGGAAUAUGUCAUGUAGCGGUGAAAUGCUUAGAUAUGACAUAGAACACCAAUUGCGAAGGCAGCUGGCUACAGGGAUAUUGACACUGAGGCGCGAAGGCGUGGGGAGCAAACAGG